AACGAACGCUGGCGGCAUGCCUAACACAUGCAAGUCGAACGAGACCUUCGGGUCUAGUGGCGCACGGGUGCGUAACGCGUGGGAACCUGCCCUUAGGUUCGGAAUAACUCCCCGAAAGGGGUGCUAAUACCGGAUAAUGUCUUCGGACCAAAGAUUUAUCGCCUUUGGAUGGGCCCGCGUUGGAUUAGCUAGUUGGUAGGGUAAAAGCCUACCAAGGCGACGAUGCAUAGCUGGUCUGAGAGGAUGAUCAGCCACACUGGGACUGAGACACGGCCCAGACUCCUACGGGACGCAGCAGUGGGGAAUAUUGGACAAUGGGCGAAAGCCUGAUCCAGCAAUGCCGCGUGAGUGAUGAAGGCCUUAGGGUUGUAAAGCUCUUUUACCCGGGAUGAUAAUGACAGUACCGGGAGAAUAAGCUCCGGCUAACUCCGUG
rnacentral:rRNA from 1 species